GGACGAACGCUGGCGGCGUGCCUAAUACAUGCAAGUUGAACGCAACAAAGACACCAGAGCUUGCUCUACCGUCUUUGUUGAGUAGCGAACGGGUGAGUAACGCGUGGGUAACCUGCCUUAUAGCGGGGGAUAACUAUUGGAAACGAUAGCUAAUACCGCAUAACAAUAGAGAUUGCAUAAUCUUAUUUGAAAGUGCCAACUGGUACACUAUGAGAUGGACCCGCGUUGUAUUAGCUAGUUGGUAGUGUAAUGGACUACCAAGGCGAUGAUACAUAGCCGACCUGAGAGGGUGAUCGGCCACAUUGGGACUGAGACACGGCCCAAACUCCUACGGGAGGCAGCAGUAGGGAAUCUUCGGCAAUGGACGAAAGUCUGACCGAGCAACGCCGCGUGAGUGAAGAAGGUUUUCGGAUCGUAAAACUCUGUUGUUAGAGAAGAAUGUUGAUUAGAGUGGAAAAUUAAUCAAGUGACGGUAUCUAACCAGAAAGGGACGGCUAACUACGUG
rnacentral:rRNA from 1 species